CCUUUUUGUUUGUUCUCUAGUUCUUUCGUUCCCGUUUUGCUCUCUCUUUCGACUUUUGUUCUCCUCUCCUUCUCUCUUCUUUCACGGUAUCUUAGUAUCCUUCCUCCUAAAACCCUAACCUUUCGAAUCCAUCACUUGUCACAAAACCUCGCCGCCGAGCAAGGAUUUCCAAUCUAAGUCUACAACUGAACCCUAGAUCUUGCCUCUCAACAAGGACCACUCCAAUCGAUGUUCAAUACUUUCCUUGCAAUUUCGUUUUCUGGAUCUAACAACCUAGAUCUGUCAUCAUCCUUGCCAAAGCCAGAGCUCCCAUUAACCAACCAGCUUCGCUCUCUCCGAAUACAUGGAGCAACACGACACAUAAAAUGCCUUUCCCAAAUGUUCAAUUGAUUACUCAGAUGGCUCCUAUUCCUUACCUCUCACCAACCGUGAAGUCCAGAUGGCUAGCAAUAUCAUCUUCUUCAAGGAUAUUUUCGUUAUUGAUAAGCUGCUGAUGGCAAAAAAAUUAAUAAAGGGGGCUUUUUGUUAAAUGGUGGUGUGCUGUGGGGAAAAG